rnacentral:SRP_RNA from 1 species
GCCAGGUGUGGUGGCGCACACCUGUAGUCCCAGCUACUCAGGAGGCUGAGGUGGGGGGGAUUGCUUGAGCCCAGGAGAUCAAGGCUGCAGUGAGCUAUUAUCACACCAUUGCACUCCAGCCUGGGCAACUGAGCAAGACUGCAUCUCAA